AUCCAUAGAGAAAAGAAAAAUGCAAUUCCCAUUCCCCUCUUCAGAUUCUCAUCCAACCUCUUCUUCCUCUCCGACAGCAUCACCACUAAUCUUCAGUUCAUCCACCGUCGCCAACGACGGCGCUUGUGCGUCCUUUACUUCAACGAUUUUCUCAGAGUUCCAGGGUUAGCCACUCAAAUCCGCAGAGUCUUGGUCUCUGGACUUGAUGUUCCUUCAUGAAGGAAGAUGAAAAAGCCACUUUCAAGGUUUAUUAUGAGAUUUUCUGAGUUUAUUUUUAUUGGGUGGUGAAGAUUGUGCUCAUAUACCUGUGACUCUCACAAAGUUUUGGACUUCCACAUCUCAAUGCAUAUCUUGAUUCCUUGGGAACCAACUUCUCACAUGGUGCAAACUUUGUAACAGCAGGAUCAACUAUCAAAGCCCCACCUAGUAGUAGUAUUAUGCCUUCGUGUAGAUUCAAUCCUUUUUACCUUGAAGUUCAGUACACUUUCUAUCAAUUUAUAUAAGAUUUAUGUAUCCCAAUAAGGCAACUUGCAUAAUCCGUUAUUUGCAAUAAAUAUUCAUAUUUAACCCUUUUUUAAUUUUAUCAUACAAAUCAAAUCAAAUCAGGAUUAUUGAUAACAUAAAUGUGAUUCGCAGUUGAGGGAGAAUUGUUUCAAAAGGGUGCGAGACGACAGAAAUCGCUUGCUCUGGAAAGUAAGGUCUCAAUCAUCUAACUAACACCAGGAUAUUGUAUCCAUGAUAUUGUCAGAAAUGCUUUCCAUGAUAUUGUAUCCGAUGAACUCAACAAAAUCAUACACUCAGCAAUUCAUAACAUUCCAAUUUCUGAUUCUGAGAUGGAUGAUGUAUUAUGGGACUAUCAAGGUCUCCAUACUAGUUACUAGGGUGAAUGCCAAGAGAUACUCUUAGAAACGCAGAGGAUAUUUUAUGAAAAUCUCAAAUUCCGAACCACCCAUUGAAGAUUUAGAAAACGAAAUUGAAACUUGGGAAGAUGAAGUGGAUGAGUACUUGGCUCGUGCAGUUUAUGAGUACAUGCAGCUAAAUGCAGAUAAGCAAUGCAAUUCAAAACUUGACCAUUUUCCCAUAGUAUAUUCUAACUAGAUAUGGGGCAUAUAGAAGAUAUUUGUUGUCCUAUUUGUAAGCAAGGAGAGCUUAAAGACAGUCACAAUGUUAUAUACUGCACUCGUUGUGAUCUUAAACUAAACAAAGCUAAUGAGGAAUUUAAGCCACAAUUUCUUAAAUGGACCCAUUGGUGAUGUAUUUAUUGGCUUAAGAUAAUCUCAAUGAAAUGUAUGUCUUCGUCUACUGGAUCCUUUGGUAUUGCAUUUGAAUUUACAAGACCUUUUUAUGUCUUGGUAAUGAUUCCUCAAUGCAUUGUGCACUUUUACUAAUUUGCCACUUAAUAUUCAUUCUUUUUCUUUUGAUACAUGCUGGCAUUAGAGCAGUCUUUGGAUUCAAGAAAAUUUAUUGCCUUUUCUUAUGGUCUUGUUAUUAAUGGCUAGGCUCGUA